rnacentral:rRNA from 1 species
UACGAAGGGGGCUAGCGUUGCUCGGAAUUACUGGGCGUAAAGCGCACGUAGGCGGCUCUUUAAGUCGGGGGUGAAAUCCUGGAGCUCAACUCCAGAACUGCCUUCGAUACUGAAGAGCUUGAGUCCGGGAGAGGUGAGUGGAACUGCGAGUGUAGAGGUGAAAUUCGUAGAUAUUCGCAAGAACACCAGUGGCGAAGGCGACUCACUGGACACAUAUUGACGCUGAGGUGCGAAAGCGUGGGGAGCAAACAGG